CUGUAGCUCAGUUGGAUAGAGUGCUUGACUACGAAUCAAGAGGUCGGGGGUUCGAGCCCCUCCAG
rnacentral:tRNA from 1 species